UAGGGAAUCUUCGGCAAUGGGGGGAACCCUGACCGAGCAACGCCGCGUGAGUGAAGAAGGUUUUCGGAUCGUAAAGCUCUGUUGUUAAGGAAGAACGAGUGUGAGAAUGGAAAGUUCAUACUGUGACGGUACUUAACCAGAAAGGGACGGCUAACUACGUGCCAGCAGCCGCGGUAAUACGUAGGUGGCAAGCGUUGUCCGGAUUUAUUGCGCGUAAAGCGAGCGCAGGCGGUCAAUUAAGUCUGAUGUGAAAGCCCCCGGCUCAACCGGGGAGGGUCAUUGGAAACUGGUUGACUUGAGUGCAGAAGAGGAGAGUGGAAUUCCAUGUGUAGCGGUGAAAUGCGUAGAUAUAUGGAGGAACACCAGUGGCGAAGGCGACUCUCUGGUCUGUAACUGACGCUGAGGCUCGAAAGCGUGGGUAGCAAACAGG
rnacentral:rRNA from 1 species